rnacentral:rRNA from 1 species
CAGUCGCCACGGUAAUACGUAGGUCCCGAGCGUUGUCCGGAUUUAUUGGGCGUAAAGCGAGCGCAGGCGGUUAGAUAAGUCUGAAGUUAAAGGCUGUGGCUUAACCAUAGUACGCUUUGGAAACUGUUUAACUUGAGUGCAAGAGGGGAGAGUGGAAUUCCAUGUGUAGCGGUGAAAUGCGUAGAUAUAUGGAGGAACACCGGUGGCGAAAGCGGCUCUCUGGCUUGUAACUGACGCUGAGGCUCGAAAGCGUGGGGAGCAAACAGGAUUAGAUACCCCUGUAGUCCCUGUCUCUUAUACC